rnacentral:snRNA from 1 species
AUACUUACCUGGCUGGGAGGUACCAUGAUCAUGAAGAUGGUUUUCACAGGGUGAGGAUUAUCCACUAUACUCCGGAUGUGCUGACCCCUGCCAUUUCCCCAAAUGUGGGAAACUUGACUGCAUAAUUUGUGGUAGUGGGGAAUUAUGUUCACGCUCUCCCCU